ensembl:lncRNA
UAAAAAUAUAUAUAUAAUAAUAAUAAACAAAGUUUUUUUUUCCGAAUCUUGUUGGAUAUCCAGAUUCCUGUCUCAAUUCUCAACCAGAUGUGAACCUUUCUGUAAAGCAUUCUAAAAAAAAGAAGAAAAAAAGAAAUACAAAUAGGAAGCACCUUCCUAUUAUCUGUUUAGAACACCUUCUGUUCAUUCAGAAUAAUAUAUUCAUAUUUGCUUACAUCCCUAGUGUACGUGUUUUAAGAAGGGAGCGGAAAAAAAAGUGUCAAUAGCUAGGACACACCUACUUAUAGAAGGUUUCAAUAACAGCAGUUUCUAGUGCUGCUUCUCACUAGAUAAUCUGCUUAAUAUGAUGACCCCCCUUUUCUGCAUUGACAAAUUCCACUCAGAUGAUGCAAUUGCAGUUUAAACAGGAUAUUUAAUGAAAAUCCAUGCAAUGCCAAAAACGAGAGGCAAAAGCGUGGUCAGAAACAGGAACGGUUCAAGCGAUCAGCAAACAACACAGUAGAGUAAUCCAAUAUUCAAUGUACGAGAAAACAGAAACAGAGGUUAAAAAAAACAAACAAACAAAAAACCCACAACCCAGGAUCGCAAUACAAAUAACACCUGUUUAAUAAACCAAGUAGGUACACUGAGCGUUACUUAGGAAUAAAAAAACACAAAGGGUUUAAAUAAUCAACGAAAUCAAGGCAAUAACACAAAACAGCUGAGACAUUAGAAAGGAGCCAAUAACAUAACAAUAGCGGAGACAGGACUGAGACCAAAACACAACACACGUGUAGAAGGUAAACAAAGUCAAUGUCAACAACCUGGAAGCGCGCGCUGUCGUGCUACGGGCUGUUGAGAGGGGAAAUCCGUGACGCCCACAAUAAUGAUCCGGAAGCUGUGUAAACCUGGAUUAGGAACAGAAGAAGCAGUCCGUGCUUGCUGUCCUCCAUGCCAUUAAUUCAUCCACCCUGAACCACCAGAAAAAUAUAACCAUCUGUUACAGAUGGGUAACAGAGAAAACUAAUUAAAUUCCUCAAUCCACAUCAACUUUUCAAAGAGCAAACUAGCCUCAUGAUUGCUGCAGAUUUCUUGAUGCUAAUUUUUUGAUUUUUUAAUUCAAGUGCUAAUUUUUUGAUUUAAAAAAAAAAAAAAAAAUUCUUUUAAAUAUUCUAAAAUGCUGCAAUGCAUAAAUGCUGCUGUUAUGAUCA